CCAAUAGCGUAUAUUAAAGUUGUUGCAGUUAAAAAGCUCGUAGUUGAAUUUCGGGGUCAUCAGGUUGGUCGUGCCAAUGGUAUGCACUGGCCUUGGUGAUCCCUCCUUCUUGAAGAACCGUGAUGCCAUUAAUUUGGUGCUGCGGGGAAACAGGACUGUUACUUUGAAAAAAUUAGAGUGUUUAAAGCAGGCUAACGCCUGAAUACAUUAGCAUGGAAUAAUAGAAUAGGACGUUCGAUCCUAUUUUGUUGGUUUCUAGGGUUGACGUAAUGAUUAAUAGGGAUAGUUGGGGGCAUUAGUAUUCAAUUGUCAGAGGUGAAAUUCUUGGAUUUAUUGAAGACUAACUACUGCGAAAGCAUUUUGCCAAGGAUGUUUUCAUUAAUCAAGAACGAAAGUUAGGGGAUCGAAGACGAUCAGAUACCGUCGUAGUCUUAACCAUAAACUAUGCCGACUAGGGAUCGGAUGAUGUUAAUUUUUUAAUGACUCAUUCGACGCCUUACG
rnacentral:rRNA from 1 species